CCCCCACACACACACACCCCCACACACCAGCAUCAGGGCUGCCACUGGUGAUGGUCAAAACUAUUGAUUUCAACUACUCUUCAGAGCUCUUCGGCCAACAAGGAGUUUUACUCAUUUCACAGGGUGGCAGGACCACAAAAGAACAAAGAGGAAAAUGGGUUUCCAUGUAAUUGUGGAAGGAAUGGGGAAUGCAGAGUUUGAAAAGCAAAAUUACAGCCCAAGGCUGUUGUAAGCAUUGUUAUGCAAAUCGGCAUGAAGGCAGCUAGGAUUUCUCCUCCAAGUUGCUAGCAAUGCCCACAGGCACCAAUUUUUAAUUAGAAAUUAUCUGAAAUGUUCAACAUGCCUGUACGUGCACUGGAAUACCUGUGAGAGUCCCCAUUCCUCCACUGGGUGUGACAAUACACAGACCAGUGCCCAGUUCCAACUUGGAGAUACUCAGUGAAAAGUCCUGCUGUGGUGAGCAACAGAAGGGUUUGGAGGAGUAGAAGUCACUUGAUGAGGGAGUGUUGGACGACACAUGGAGAACGGAUUUGUUUCCAGCAGAACUCUUUGCACAUACUGAGCCUGAAAGGAAUUUUUUGUUCAAGAAAGCAACAAUGACAUCAAUGCCUUAAAAAUGCUCCAAGAAUGUUAUUCACGAAAAUGGUUGAUGUAAAUUUAUCUUCAACCAUUUUGUGCAGGUAUUGGCCAGGCUGAAGGCAGGAUGGUCAGUUGUGCUGCUCCUUGCAGCUUCUGCUCCACUGAAGUUCAGUUCUUGUGAUUCAUCUCACAGGCGGAUAUUCCCACACCUUAUAUCUACCAGCAUUUUCAUCCCUAUCAUGUACUGGAGCAUUUAAGGCAUGCUGAAACCUGAUGGUGCAGACAAAUCUAGCAAAGCUGAACCCUGGGCCCAUCCUGGAGGCAUAACAGAAGGGUUGCACCCACAGGCAAAGAAAUGAUGCUUCAGCUCUUUUUUCCCUACAAGAUGCUUCCAUCUGGAGAUUUUUCUGGAACUGAUCAUGCACUGGUCCUGCUGUACUUUGUAGAAGGAUUCCCACGUGAAUAUCCCAUGUGCUUCUGAAGCAGAGGAAAAUUAUGGUUGUCAUGCACAAAUAGUUUAACCAGCUUUGGAUGCAUAUAGUCCAUUCAUCCCCAAAUACAGCAAAACAAUCAGAUGGCAGGUACAGGAUUCAAAGUUAGCCAGUUGGUAGAGAAGCAUAAAUUGCAUCAGGCUGAAGUCAUCCUGUAUUCACAGUGAGUUGUACCUGGCUUGCACUGGCAGGAACGCAUCAUACAUGGAGUAAAAUAGGUGAUUAGGGAAAACAGAAAGGGCGGAAGCUGACUGUGAAUUUGGAUCAAGGUAUAGGUUUCUGUAUGACAUUCCCAAUUCCAAAGCUCUUUCUAGAUACCUAAGCAAUUACUGGACUUCAUUAUUAUGAAUUUUAUCUCCAUUACAUCCCUCUAGGGUAAGAAGUAUUCAGUUUCCUCUCCCAGAUGGCAAAUAACUAUAUUAGAUAUGUAGUAAGUGACCCGAAUACAGGGACAUAAAAAAUCCGUGGGUCUAGGCAUCCUGCAGGUCCUUGUGCUGUCCUUCCCUCUACUCCUUGCUUGUUCCCAAGCAGAGUCAGAGCUGCAGCCUGAGCUGCCCCUAUCAAAACAUCACAGGUGUGUUUGCAGACUCAGCUGCGCAGUGAUACUGCUAGGCAAGGAAGGCAACGUGCAGCUCGCUAUCUGCCACACUGAGAAGCAACUUCUAGUGCAAGACAGUGAUGGCUGCCUGCAGAGAAGUAGCCCUGUCAGCUCCUUCUCUGACUGCCCUGAUAAACUCAGUCAAUUACACUAAUGGAAAAAUUGCAUCAAAAUUCUGCCAGUUCUUCUGCUUUCCUGUGCUUUGCACCCUUUCAAUUCGAAAAUAAAUGCUUGGAGGUCACCCUAGCUUGAUUAAAUCACAGUAAUAUACA